rnacentral:rRNA from 1 species
CGAACGCUGGCGGCGUGCUUAACACAUGCAAGUCGCACGGAAAGGCCCUGCUUUUGUGGGGUGCUCGAGUGGCGAACGGGUGAGUAACACGUGAGUAACCUGCCCUUGACUUUGGGAUAACUUCAGGAAACUGGGGCUAAUACCGGAUAGGAGCUCCUGCUGCAUGGUGGGGGUUGGAAAGUUUCGGCGGUUGGGGAUGGACUCGCGGCUUAUCAGCUUGUUGGUGGGGUAGUGGCUUACCAAGGCUUUGACGGGUAGCCGGCCUGAGAGGGUGACCGGCCACAUUGGGACUGCGAUACGGCCCAGACUCCUACGGGAGGCAGCAGUGGGGAAUAUUGCACAAUGGGCGGAAGCCUGAUGCAGCAACGCCGCGUGCGGGAUGACGGCCUUCGGGUUGUAAACCGCUUUCGCCUGUGACGAAGCGUGAGUGACGGUAAUGGGUAAAGAAGCACCGGCUAACUACGUG